AAUAUUGCACAAUGGGCGCAAGCCUGAUGCAGCCAUGCCGCGUGUAUGAAGAAGGCCUUCGGGUUGUAAAGUACUUUCAGCAGUGAGGAAGGUGGUGUCGUUAAUAGCGGCAUCAUUUGACGUUAGCUGCAGAAGAAGCACCGGCUAACUCCGUGCCAGCAGCCGCGGUAAUACGGAGGGUGCGAGCGUUAAUCGGAAUUACUGGGCGUAAAGCGCAUGCAGGUGGUUUGUUAAGUCAGAUGUGAAAGCCCGGGGCUCAACCUCGGAAUUGCAUUUGAAACUGGCAGACUAGAGUACUGUAGAGGGGGUAGAAUUUCAGGUGUAGCGGUGAAAAUGCGUAGAGAUCUGAAGGAAUACCGGUGGCGAAGGCGGCCCCCUGGACAGAUACUGACACUCAGAUGCGAAAGCGUGGGGAGCAAACAGGAUUAGAUACCCUGGUAG
rnacentral:rRNA from 1 species